ACAAGCGGUGAGUGCUUUGGGGUGGGGUGACUGCGUACCUUUUGUAUAAUGGGUCAGCGACUUAUAUUCUGUAGCAAGGUUAACCGUAUAGGGGAGCCGUAGGGAAACCGAGUCUUAACCGGGCGUUAAGUUGCAGGGUAUAGACCCGAAACCCGGUGAUCUAGCCAUGGGCAGGUUGAAGGUUGGGUAACACUAACUGGAGGACCGAACCGACUAAUGUUGAAAAAUUAGCGGAUGACUUGUGGCUGGGGGUGAAAGGCCAAUCAAACCGGGAGAUAGCUGGUUCUCCCCGAAAGCUAUUUAGGUAGCGCCUCGUGAAUUCAUCUUCGGGGGUAGAGCACUGUUUCGGCUAGGGGGUCAUCCCGACUUACCAACCCGAUGCAAACUGCGAAUACCGGAGAAUGUUAUCACGGGAGACACACGGCGGGUGCUAACGUCCGUCGUGAAGAGGGAAACAACCCAGACCGCCAGCUAAGGUCCCAAAGUCAUGGUUAAGUGGGAAACGAUGUGGGAAGGCCCAGACAGCCAGGAUGUUGGCUUAGAAGCAGCCAUCAUUUAAAGAAAGCGUAAUAGCUCACUGGUCGAGUCGGCCUGCGCGGAAGAUGUAACGGGGCUAAACCAUGCACCGAAGCUGCGGCAGCGACACUGUGUGUUGUUGGGUAGGGGAGCGUUCUGUAAGCCUGCGAAGGUGGCCUGUGAGGGUUGCUGGAGGUAUCAGAAGUGCGAAUGCUGACAUAAGUAACGAUAAAGCGGGUGAAAAGCCCGCUCGCCGGAAGACCAAGGGUUCCUGUCCAACGUUAAUCGGGGCAGGGUGAGUCGACCCCUAAGGCGAGGCCGAAAGGCGUAGUCGAUGGGAAACAGGUUAAUAUUCCUGUACUUGGUGUUACUGCGAAGGGGGGACGGAGAAGGCUAUGUUGGCCGGGCGACGGUUGUCCCGGUUUAAGCGUGUAGGUGUGUGUUCCAGGUAAAUCCGGUUCACUUUAACACUGAGGCGUGA
rnacentral:rRNA from 1 species